GACGAACGCUGGCGGCGUGCUUAACACAUGCAAGUCGAACGAAGAGCGACGGAAGCUUGUUUCUAUCAAUCUUCGUGGCGAACGGGAGUGUAACGCGUAAACAACCCGUCCUUCAGAGGGGGACAACAGUUGGAAACGACUGCUAAUCGCGCAUACGAUUUAAUCUCGGCAUCGAGGAUGGAAGAAAGGUUGCCCCUACAUGUAAGCUAUCAUUGAAGGCGGGGAUUGUUGCUGCUUAGUUAGCUGGUGGGGAAACGGGCCACCAAGGCGCUGGUCAGUAGCCGGACUGGAGGGGGGAACCGCCAAAAUUGGAAUGGGACACGGCCCAGGCUUCUACGGGGAGGAGCAGGUGGGGAUCUUCCGGAAUGGAGGAAAGGCUGACGGGGCAACGCCGCGGGGGGGAUGACGGGCCUCGGGUUGUAAAGCUCUGUUAAUCAGGACGAAAGGCCUGCGUGCGAAUAGUGGGAAGGAUUGACGGUACCGGAAUAGAAAGCCACGGCUAACUACGUG
rnacentral:rRNA from 1 species